UACGUAGGGGGCUAGCGUUGUCCGGAUUUAUUGGGCGUAAAGAGCGUGUAGGCGGCCAGGUAGGUCUGCUGUGAAAACUCGAGGCUCAACCUCGAGACGUCGGCGGAAACCAUCUGGCUAGAGUCCGGAAGAGGCGAGUGGAAUUCCUGGUGUAGCGGUGAAAUGCGCAGAUAUCAGGAGGAACACCAAUUGCGAAGGCAGCUCGCUGGGACGUUACUGACGCUGAUGCGCGAAAGCGUGGGGAGCAAACAGG
rnacentral:rRNA from 1 species